GAGUUUGAUCCUGGCUCAGAUUGAACGCUGGCGGCAUGCUUUACACAUGCAAGUCGAACGGCAGCACGGGAGCUUGCUCCUGGUGGCGAGUGGCGAACGGGUGAGUAAUGCAUCGGAACGUAUCCUGGAGUGGGGGAUAACGUAGCGAAAGUUACGCUAAUACCGCAUAUUCUGUGAGCAGGAAAGCGGGGGACCUUCGGGCCUCGCGCUCUUGGAGCGGCCGAUGUCGGAUUAGCUAGUUGGUGAGGUAAAGGCUCACCAAGGCGACGAUCCGUAGCAGGUCUGAGAGGAUGAUCUGCCACACUGGAACUGAGACACGGUCCAGACUCCUACGGGAGGCAGCAGUGGGGAAUUUUGGACAAUGGGGGCAACCCUGAUCCAGCCAUGCCGCGUGAGUGAAGAAGGCC
rnacentral:rRNA from 1 species